rnacentral:rRNA from 1 species
UACGUAGGUGGCAAGCGUUGUCCGGAUUUAUUGGGUUUAAAGGGUGCGUAGGCGGCCCUGUAAGUCAGUGGUGAAAUACUCUAGCUUAACUAGAGGGGUGCCAAUGAUACUGCAGGGCUUGAGUACAGAUGAGGUAGGCGGAAUUGACGGUGUAGCGGUGAAAUGCAUAGAUAUCGUCAAGAACACCGAUAGCGAAGGCAGCUUACUGGGCUGUAACUGACGCUGAUGCACGAAAAGUGUGGGGGAUCAAACAGG